CCAUUCCAGCCAUUAUUAUGAGCCGCCAUUCCCUCAGCAGCCUCCACUGAUUUCAAUAAACAACCAGAAGUUGGAACCGGUUCAGGGAACGAAAGUGAUCUCUAGUGUUCCAGAACAGAACCGUUAUACUGAAAUCUUGAGAACCGGUUAAUGUUAUUUUUUGUUCCAAAAAACAUUCCUAAUGUCUAGUAUACAAUUCUGUAAUUCAGUGAAGUUAUGACGCUAGUAAUAGCCUAAACCAAACGUGUCAAAGUAAUUCCACGGAGGGUCGAGUUUCUAAAGAAUUCCCUUCACCUGGUUAUCUAGGUUUUAUUUGAAAGGAAAAACCAAAAAACCUACAGACCCUCGGUCGUCCGCUUCAAGCCAAGCCUCCGCCAUGUCCACUCCUUUCUCUCUCCCCACCCGUGAAAUUUCAGUCGCAUCUCAACCCUGUACUUAUUUGUCCAUCAAACAUGUAGACAACUAGUUUACCCGUGACAUAGCAAGCUGCUCUAGCCACGCUAAUUGGUGGAGUAAUUUAAUUAGCUAAAAUGUAAAACUGUUGAUUUCACGGGUACAAAAUUAAGGAAAAGGAACUAUAAGAACCGUUACUUUUUUUGCGGUUCAGAACUUUUAUGCUGGUUGGGCCACUGGGACAGGACGAAAUAUAUAGGGGUUCUGGUCAGAGAAGAACGAUUGGAAACCGUUAACAACCUAAGCAUUAUGAAACGUCCAUUAGAUGAAAUAACGCUCAACUAUCAAAAUAGCAAUUCACUUUUAUCUUGACCAAAUUCGACACUCUCGUUGCCCCUCAUAACAAACAAAAAAAGAAUACUCACUUGACACUUGGUCUGCUUAACGCUAUAAAUCUGGGCGGAGUCGAACCUCCCGCUUCGCCUCUUUCCUCUCUGCUUGUGUUUAGCGGGUUAACGUGCCCUGGCUGCCAUCGAACCUCAAAAUGACGAAAUUACAGUUUCUAAAUGUAUAUUUGACAGAAAGAUUGAUGUUAGCUGCCCAGGAUAUAUAUAAGCAAGUGGAAGAGACCAUAUUAGAAUACAAGGAGGAAAUAUUCCAGGGAAAGCGAGAGAAUGAUAAACUGAGACGCAAGCUUCACGAAAAUGGGAUUCCAUGGCCAGACCUAGAGACAUUUUCUCCUGUAGAAUCUGAGGAGGAGGAGGAGGAGGAGGGAGCCAUUGGGCAUAAGCAGGAACCAAACCCUGGACAGACUUUGGAGAAACAGGAUGGAAGGGCCAGAAGGGAGGAAAAGCUGUUCAGGGGACUGGCCCCUCUGUCUAGAUUCACUCCUUCUAAUGGAAAUGAUGACUAUGAUCAGAACCCACCUCAACCCACCUCACAUCAGUUCCAAAUACAAACUCACACUGGGAAGACUAUAGAGGGAGGCUUUCUAUCAAGCUCAACAACCUCCAAUCCAAUCAAAACAGAGACUGAUAGAUUGGGCGUCUGUCCAUUAGGUGAUCCAUCAAGUGACCCAAAUACUUUCUCUUCAGGGAACCUCGACCUUUUGGCAGCACAGAGUGAGAACAGUGACUAUGAGAACACUGACUUCUGGUGCUGUGCGGUGUGGAAGGAAAGCAAGGAGGAGGUGGAGGAUGUGUUUCCCAGUACCUGGGUGGUGGGCAAGAAGGUCAUUUCACCUCCAGUCAAUGGCAGGAAAGUCCUGAAAGACACAAGCCAGGAGCAAAUUGGACAGCAUAUGACCUUGUUAAAGUCAAACUAUUCUCAGAAUCUCUGGAGGAGUGUGAAGGGUACAGUAGGUCCAGUGAUGAGCUGACUGUCAACGGAGACAACACGUGAGCCCAACGCGUAGACGAAGAGGAAGACGGGCGAGGGACAUGUUACUGACACUGGGCAGAUACCUCAAGGAGGACCCCAUGGAGAUGGGACACACAGAAACGUUCAACUCUGGAACCCUGGAGGAAAGUUCUGCAGUUCUAGAAGCAGAACCUCAUCUCGAUCCCUACAUCUACCAGUGUUCUUUCCCAUUGGUUUGCCACACACAUGGUCUAUGUCAGUUUGAGGCGCUGUACACUACAUGACCAAAAGUAUGUAGAACAUCUCAUUCCAAAAUCACGGGCAUUAAUAUGGAGUUGGUCCCCUCCUUUGCUGCUAUAACAGCCUCCACUCUUCCAGGAAGGCUUUCUACUAGAUCAGGUAUUCCCAAACUGGGGUACGCGUACCCCUGCCGUCGAGAGUACGCCAACUAAAAAAAGUAAUUCACAUUUAUUAAAAAGCAAGGUGAAUCUGUACUGAUGGCGCAAAGGCCAUAACAGGGAGACAUAGUGGAGUGGUAACGCUCGUGCAAGCAGUUGCUCCCGACACCACUUGGGUACACAUCCACCGAGAGGCUUUUGCUGCCAAGGGAAUGCCUGGCAACGUGAAAGACAUUUUGGACACUACAGUGAAAAUGGUUAACUUUGUUAAAGCAAGGCCCCUGAACUCUCGUGUAUUUUCUGCACUAUGCAAUGAUAAGGGCAGCGACCAUGUAACGCUCGUUAUCAAGGGGCAAAGUAUUGACACUUUUUUUUUUUAUUGAGAGGCGAGCUUAAAGUUUUGACUGACCAUAAUUUUCACUUGUCUGACCGCUUGCAUGAUGAUGAGCUUCUCAUACGAUUGGUCUAUCUGGGUGAUGUUUUUUCUCACCUGAAUGAUCUGAAUCUAGGAUUACAGGGACUCCGCAACUAUAUUCAAUGUGCAGGACAAAAUUGAGGCUAUGAUUAGGGAAGUUGGAGCUCUUCUCUGUCUGCAUUAACAAGGACAACACACAGGUCUUUCCAUCAUUGUAUUAUUUUUUUGUGUGCAAAUGAACUCAAGCUUACGGACAAUGUCAAAUGUGAUAUAGUGAAGCACCUGAGGGAGUUGGGUGCGCAACUACGCAGGUACUUAACCAAAACGGAUGACAGAAACAACUGGUUUCGUUAUCCCUUUCAUACCCUGCCUCCAGUCCACUUACCGAUAUCUAAACAAGAGAGACUCAUCGAAAUUGCAACAAGCGGUUCUGUGAAAAUUGAAUUUAAUCAGAAAGCCACUGACAGAUUUCUGGAUUGGGCUGCGCUCAGAGUAUCCUGCCUUGGCAAAUCACGCUGUUAAGACACUGAUGCCCUUUGCAACCACCUACGUAUGUGAGAGUGGAUUCUCGGCCCUCACUAGCAUGAAAACUAAAUACAGGCACAGACUGUGUGUGGAAAAUGAUUUAAGACUGAGACUCUCUCCAAUACAACCCAACAUUGCAGAGGUAUGUGCAUCCUUUCAAGCACACCGUUCUCAUUAACCCGUGGUGAGUUAUUCACACUUUUCGAUGAACAAAUAAGGUUUUAUAUAUAAGAUGGUUAAAUAUUAUUAUUAUUUGUGCCCUGGUCCUGUAAGAGCUGUUUGUCACUUCCCACGAGCCAGGUUGUGACAAACUCACACUCAUUCUUAUGUUUAAUAAAUGUAUCGUAUAGUGUGUGUGUGGCAGGCUUGAUGGCAAAAAACAAAUAGAGUCAAUUAGAGUGCACUGACCUUGGUGCUAGAGGGGGUACACAGCUGGAGGUUGAAUGUUUGAAGGGGUACGGGACUAUAAAAACGUUUGGGAACCACUGCACUAGAUGUUAGAACAUAGCUUUGGGGACUUGCGUCCAUUUAGCCUCGAGCAGUAGUGAGGUUGAGCACUGAUGUUGGGCGAUUAGGGUUGGCUCGCAGUCGGCGUUCCAGUUCAUCCCAAAGGUGUUCGAUGGAGUUAAGGUAAGGCCAGUCAAGUUCUUCCACGGCAAUCUCGAUAAACAAUUUCUGUAUGGACCUCGCUUUGUUCCCGACAAACAGUUAUUGUGCUGACAUAGCUUCCAGAGGCAGUUUGGAACUCGGUAGUGAGUGUUGCAACCGAGGACAGACGAUUUUUACGAGCUUCAGCACUCGGCGGUCCAGUUCUGUGAGCUCGUGUGGCCUACCGAUUAACGGCUGAGCCGUUGUUGCUCCUAGAUGUUUCAACCUCACAAUAACAGCCCUUACAGUUGACCGUGGCAACUCCAGUAGGGCAGAAAUUUGACGAACUGACUUGGAAAGGUGGCAUCCUAUGACUGUGGCACGUUGAAAGUCACUGAGCUCUUCAGUAAGGCCAUUCUGUUGCCAGUGUUUGUCUGUGGAGAUUGCAAGGCUGUGUGCUCGAUUUUAUCAACCUGUCAGCAACGGGUGUGGCUGAAUCCACUAAUUUGAAGGGGUGUCCACAUACUUUUAUAUAUACAGUUGAAGUCAGAAGUUUACAUACACCUUAGCCAAAUACAUUUAAAUUCAGUUUUUCACAAUUCCUGACAUUUAAUCCUAGUAAAGAAUCCCUGUUUUAGGUCAGUUAGAUCACCACUUCAUUUUUCAGAAUGUGAAAUGUCAGAAUAACAGUAGAGAGAAUGAAUUAUUUCAGCUUUUUAUUUCUUUCAUCACAUUCCCAGUGGGUCAGAAGUUUACAUACACUCAAUUAGUAUUUGGUAGCAUUGCCUUUAAAUUGUUUAACUUGGGUCAAAUGUUUUGUGUAACCUUCCACAAGCUUCCCACAAUAAGUUGGGUGAAUUUUGGCCCAUUCCUCCUGACAGAGCUGGUGUAACUGAGUCAGGUUUGUAGGCCUCCUUGAUCGCACACGCUUUUUCAGUUCUGCCCACACAUUUUCUAUGGGAUUGCGGUCAGGGCUUUGUGAUGGCCACUCCAAUACCUUAACUUUGUUGUCCUUAAGCCAUUUUGCCACAACUUUGGCAGUAUGCUUGGGGUCAUUGUCAAUUUGGAAGACCCAUUUGCAACCAAGCUUUAACUUCCUGACUGAUGCCUUGAUGUUGCUUCAAUAUAUCUACAUAAUUUUCCUCCCUCAUGAUGCCAUCUAUUUUGUGAAGUGCACCUGUCCCUCCUGCAGCAAAGCACCCCCACAACAUGAUGCUGCCACCCCUGUCCUUCACGGUUGGGAUGGUGUUCUUCGGCUUACAAGCCUCCCCCUUUUUCCUCCCAACAUAACGAUGGUCGUUAUGGCCAAACAGUUCUAAUUUUGUUUCAUCAGACCAGUUGACAUUUCUCCAAAAAGUACGAUCUUUGUCCCCAUGUGCAGUUGCAAACCGUACUCUGGCUUUUUUAUGGCAGUUUUUGAGCAGUGGCUUCUUGCUUGCUGAUCGGCCUUUCAGGUUAUGUCAAUAUAGGACUCGUUUUACUGUGGAUAUAGAUACUUUUGUACCUGUUUCCUCCAGCAUCUUCACAAGGUCCUUUGCUGUUGUUCUGGGAUUGAUUUUCACUUUUCGUACCAAAGUACGUUCAUCUCUAGGAGACAGAACGCGUCUCCUUUCUGAGCGGUAUGACGGCUGCAUGGUCCCAUGGUGUUUAUACUUGCGUACUAUUGUUUGUACAGAUUAACGUGGUACCUUCAGGCAUUUGGAAAUUGCUCCCAAGGAUGAACCAGACUUGUGGAGGUCUACAAUUUUUUUUCUGAGGUCUUGGCUGAUUUCUUUUUAUUUUCCCAUGAUGUCGAGCAAAGAGGAACUGAGUUUGAAGGUAGGCCUUGAAAUACACCCACAGGUACACCUCCAAAUGACUCAAAUGAUGUCAAGUAGCCUAUCAGAAGCUUCUAGAGCAUGACAGAAUUUUCUGGAAUUUUCCAAGCUGUUUAAAGGCACAGUGAACUUAGUGUAUGUAAACUUCUGACCCACUGGAAUUGUGAUUAAGUGAAAUAAUCUGUCUGUAAACAAUUGUUGGAAAAAUUACUUGUGUCAUGCACAAAGUAGAUGUCCUAACCGACUUGCCAAAACUAUAGUUAAAGAAAUUUGUGGAGUGGUUGAAAAUCAAUUUUUAAUGGCUCCAACCUAAGUGUAUGUAAACUUCCGACUUCAACUGUAUAGUGUAUAUGUUCUGAUCAGCCUCUUUUGUGUUAUUCAAGCCUUGACGACUCAUUCAACGAGGAGAGCUACCUCAGAGGGUGGACCACACUCUUCUACCUCAUGGGAUGCGGUUUUUCCUUCCUCACAGUCCAGAGAGGGAGCAUACCUAAGAAACAGUUUCUGAGUAGGAUCGGUGGGAACACGUUGAGGGACAAUGUCACCGGAGUGAUGGAGAAGUGGACACACACUGGCUAAAAUACUGUUGUAGUCCUGUGUAAAUCUCUUUUUCUGUGAGUGCUAUUUGAUGGGUAACAGUGUUCUCGUACUAGGCUGAUAACCAAUGAACUGAUGAGCAACUUCAACAUGAAAGGAAGGAAAUGGACCAAGAAGAGUUCUCACACACUCUCUGAGCAAAAUCUUUAUUGGUAAGAGUAUAUGAGCAGAGUGGAGCGGUCUGAAAUAAAGCUUAUCGCUCACUGAGCCAGCGCUCCACAUUCUUUACAACCACACUGCAAAAAACGUUCCUCAAACACAGAAGGGAAAAAACGCUGCUCAAAAUUUACUCCAUUCAUUCAAAUCACCAUUUCACCAACACCCAUCUAUUUUUGUGACUACCUAGACCUACCAUUUGCUUGUGAAAUAUUGAAACCAGAUGAAGGAAAAAGGAAACCGCACACUGCUCUUGAUAGUAUCACCAAUAUUUAAUAAGUUUACAUAUCGGCCUCACGGCCUUCGUCAGAGCUUUUGUGAUUUUUGUUUAAUUUGCACCUUAUGUAGAACUGGCCCCACCCACAUCCGUUCUACACAUCGAAUGGGGUUUGAGGCAAAGCACUCCCUCUUGCUCUUGGUCCUCAUUUUUGUAAGUUACCUUGAUUUUGCACCUGUAUGUUUUGAUCAGUUUCUUUAUGAUAAUAUCUAACGAACUCCAUGACAGUAGCUAAAGCAAAGGGGCUAUAGCAGCACACAAGUAGACUUCAAAUGCAUGCUGGGCCCGGGUAUGCCCUAAACUAGUGAAGUGAAUUGAGAACUACUGGAGUUAAAUUGGAGCGUACAAGGCUGCGACGAUCCAGCCUUUGGGGAAACUCACGCUCGCUUCAGUCAAAUUGGACACGCUCUGCUCCGCUCAUAUACUCUAAGAGUUACACAGCAAAUUAGAAAAUAAUGUUACCGCAGUAGUUCUGCAUGACAUGUUAUGUGAUUGAAUGAGCAGUAGUAGGCUAUUAUGUCUUCAAUGCCCUAUCCGAUUAUCAUUUUAUGUGCCAAGUUUAAGUGACAUUCUUUUUCUAUUGUCUUACAUGUGAUUAGGGUUUCAACGGGUAUAUUGCUGGUAACUUUUGCAAACUUUAAAAAAAAAUGUAAAUGUAUCACAUGACAUCUAGUGUCCUUUUUGGGUACUUGAGCUCAUGACAUGCGUCUAAUUAUUCUGGCCCUCAAGAUUAUUACAAAAAUAGAAUGACUAAGCUGUAAAACUUUAUCCUAAAUAUAAACCAUUAACUUGGUGAAUACCGUUGGUGUUUAAUAGGAUUUCAACAUGAAAUAUCCUUUGUUUUACACAUUUGACUAUGUCAAUAUGUCUUGGUUUUAAAUGUUUUGGCACAAAUGGUGGCAGUUGUGAAAAAAUCAAUAGUUGGAAGAGUUGCAGAGUUACUUGAAAAUAAUGCCAUUGUUAAAUAGAUGUUAUUUAUUAAUUAGGCUAUUUUCUCUUUAUCCAUAUUGUCUAUCUAAUAGAAACUCAUGGACAAAGAAUAUAUACUUUCUAUGUGUAUAUAUACAGUACCAGUCAAAAGUUGACACCUAUUCUUUCCAGGGUUUUUAUUUUUACUAUUUUCCACAUUGUAAAAUAAUAGUGAAGACAAAACUAUGAAAUAACACCAAUGGAAUCAUGUAGUAACCAAAAAAAGUUGUACAAAUUAAAAUAUGUUUUAUAUUUGAGAUUCUUCAAAGUAGCCACCCUUUGCCUUGAUGACAGCUUUGCACACACUUGGCAUGCUCUCCUCUCGAGGCGGGCAAUUCAAUGCAAGGUGCCCCCAGGCAUCACACUCAAAACACCUCCUUUGGUCUCCAUCUACCUGGGGUCGGUGGAGGCGGGUCGGAUCUUCCCGGGCCAUCUCUCCGCGUCCCUUUGGCCCCGCUGAUGGUCGGUUUAGGAUAUACGGCAGUGAGGGUGUCCUCCCGUCCCAUCGGAUGGGUCCUCGGCCCGGCUCCCCUUCAGCAGGGCCUCUGCGUUCUGAUGCGUCUCCACUGCUCCCACUGCUAUCAACUCGUCCAUGCUGAUGCUGCAUAAACAUCAACCCUGAUCUGACCACGUUAUCCGAAUGCCCACAUUCUCCACCACUUGUGGCAGACCAGGGGGUUUGGUCAAGACGUUUACACAGAUCAGACACAGACAAAAUUGUAUUAGCUCGGUUUCACGGAUGCUUAUUUCAAAUAAUAAUAAUAGGUCCUCCAGAAUAUUGUCUACUGGGCUCCGGGGUCUUGCUGUAUCCUGUGGGGAACAAAACCGAACGCCCUCGUUUAUCUCUUAUACUGAGCAUGACUAUACAGAAGUAACCUCUCUUCCCCAGUCCCCACCCCCAUGUGCUGCCCUUCUGUCAGCUUUAUGGUACUCGUCCAGCUGGUGAGCAAUCAGCCCCUUGAUUACUCACCAACCACAAUCAGCCCCAAUUAGUCCUGGCCGGAGAGCCCUUCGAGACCUGGCACAUCCUGCAGAGGGAUCCAUCGCCGCGUGAUGUAGACUCCAUCUGUCACCAGGCCUCGACGAGUCUCCCCCUGGUGGCCAACCUGCGGUACGCCACAAUCCCUAAUCCCUAACUACCUAGUGUUCUCUCCUCUCCGAACCUCUGCCUAUAUUCCAGACCUCAUCAUGAUCACCCACCCAUAUGCCACUGAGUCUGCUGUCAUGCACCUGAUGGCCAACAUACUGAAUACGCCCCGGACAGACGUGGAGGGGGAUGCCUACAAAAAAGUUGUAGGUAUUAUUUAUUCCCUGCGGUAGUAGAAUAUGAAUUAAUUGGUAAUGCCAGAGAAGUCGGUGUUUUGGAGGAUAUAUGGGCACGGGUUUGUCUCGUGCCAGCAAACCGUGCCAAUAUAUCCUCAACACCGAGGGCAUUAUCACUUUUAUUCAACGGGUUACCAACAUAUCAAAUAAUGAUUUACAUAUUUUUUUUUAUUUUGAUUAAUUUAUUCAUACUAUUUCAUCCUUCCACAAGAUAUAGUCCCAACAUAAAUAUAGGGUUGCUACCCAAGUAGGCUGGUCUUUCGUUCUAUUGGUUCGGUUGCCAGAGACGUGACCCAGUCGUUCAGCCUGUUUGUUCUGUAUCUAUGGAUGCGACCCAGUCGUUCGUUCUAAAUGUUCCAUUGCCAUACUGGCUGGCAACGUUCUUAUCGCUUGCUAGCUAGCCAACUACGGCUAACUUACAGUCACGUCAAACAUUGCAGACAGAAUAACAGCAAAAUGGGUGCAUUUGUGUUUAAUCUGUUUUUAGCUACGUUUAUUUACAUACAUCCAUAACAAUGAGCUAAUGAUACGCAGUUUUGCCUGGCAUAGAAAAUGUGCUUUCUCGUCAGGACACUGUUGUUCAGAGGAGCUAGCCAACAACACAGCUAACACAAUCACUUCAAACUGAAGCUGGAAAGACGGCAAACUAACUGAAUUUCGUUUGACCUGUUUUCUAUUCACAUUUCUUUGUAUAUAUCCAUAAACAUUAUGCCAGCUGAUUCAUGAUUUCGACUGGCUGAGAAAAGCUGCCUGCUUGUCUGUCUCCUCUCGACUCCCAAGUUCAUUACUAUGGGACAGCUGGCUACCGAAUUUCAAUAUUGAUUUUUUUUUGCAAAUGUCAGAGAGACAGACAGCAAGGUUUAUACAACUCUUUUCUGUUGAAAAUCAAAUGCUAGUCUAAAAGAAAUGGGAGAUAAUGUCUAGGUGGUUUUUAUAGUGGAGAUCAAGUUUAUAAAUUGCCUGGCUGGGCUGAUGAGACCGUGGUUUGUCUGAGAGAUUGAACAGAGUAAAUAGGCAUAUCACCGUCAUAGCUUUAGUCGGUGGUAACUUGUGGAAUACUCAAGAUUGCCAAAGGUGCUUCAACAAAGUACUGAGUAAAGGGUCUGAAUACUUAUUUAAAUGUGAUAUUUCAGUUUUUUAUUUUUAAUACAUUUGCAAACAUUUCUGAA